GUGCUGUGAUGGAUUUCCUAGCAGAGAGAGAUAGAGAGCUAGCUGCAGGCGGUAGGACCCAGUGGUCAUCCUAGAGGCAGAAGGGUGUAAGAUGCACAGAGGGAGACACAUAGACACAGAGAGGCUGGAGAAAGGAAGAGGAGGCAGGAGGAGGAGGACUACCACUCUGUGCAAAGAGAGGAAGAGACGUUAUUAAAUACUGUGCAACCAGGGAGGGGAGAGAAAGAGCAAGCAGCACAACAACAAGAGCAGCUGAUCCUCUGCACCAAGGAUGAUCCAGGGCUGAAGACUGCACCAGCUGAUCCUGCACCCAGCAAGGUGACAGCACAAAAAGCAGCAGCAGAUCCUCCCAUCCCUCCAUGCAAUCAAUGGGCUGAAUCUGCAGCAGCAGCAACACUACAAGCAGCAGCAGCCCUAUCCUUCCCCUCUUCCUCCUCCUCCUCCCACCCUCUCCCCCUCUCUCUGUCUGCUCUCCUCUCCUCCCCCCUCCUUCCUUCUUUCCUCUCCCUUCCCUCUCAUGCUCCCCUCCGUGAUGGUGAGGCUUCAGCUGGCUGCAAUCCACCACUAGGCCCUGUGGCUCUCCUUCUCCUGCAGGCACAGCUCCUAUAGACCUCUUGCAUCCAUAUAUAACUUACCACUGCUGCUAUAGUUUCCACUCCAAAUCUUGGCGAGAGCUGUCCACCAAGUUACAUUGCUGUCAUUAUGAAUGAAGUAGCGAUUGUAAAAGAAGGUUGGCUUCACAAACGAGGUGAGUACAUAAAGACCUGGCGGCCCCGUUACUUUCUCCUCAAGACUGACGGUACUUUUAUUGGUUAUAAGGAACGUCCUCAAGAUGUCGACCAAUUAGAAACCCCUUUGAACAAUUUCUCCGUAGCCAAAUGUCAACUGAUGAAGACAGAACGACCAAAACCAAACACAUUCAUCAUCCGAUGCCUCCAGUGGACCACCGUUAUAGAGAGGACGUUUCACGUUGAUUCUCCCGAGGAGAGAGAAGAAUGGAUAAAAGCCAUCCAGGCAGUAGCCGACAGCCUUAAGAAGCAGGAGGAGGAGAUGAUGGAUUUUAGGUCUGGCUCCCCGAGUGAUAAUUCCGGUGCAGAGGAAAUGGAAGUCACUUUUUCGAAACCAAAACAUAAAGUAACAAUGAAUGAAUUUGAAUAUCUGAAGCUCCUGGGGAAGGGGACCUUUGGAAAAGUCAUUUUAGUCAAAGAAAAAGCAACGGGAAGAUAUUACGCCAUGAAAAUUUUAAAAAAAGAAGUAAUAGUUGCAAAGGAUGAAGUAGCACAUACACUGACCGAAAACCGCGUCUUACAGAAUUCUAGGCAUCCUUUCCUAACUGCGUUAAAAUAUUCCUUCCAGACACAUGAUCGCUUAUGUUUUGUAAUGGAAUAUGCAAAUGGAGGGGAGCUGUUCUUCCACCUAUCGAGAGAACGUAUAUUUUCUGAAGACCGAGCGCGGUUUUAUGGAGCAGAGAUCGUCUCAGCGUUAGAUUAUCUUCACUCGGAGAAAAACGUAGUUUACAGAGAUUUAAAGUUGGAAAAUCUUAUGCUAGACAAAGACGGACACAUAAAAAUAACAGAUUUUGGCCUCUGCAAAGAAGGUAUAAAGGAUGGGGCGACGAUGAAGACUUUCUGUGGUACCCCAGAAUACCUCGCUCCUGAAGUACUAGAAGAUAAUGACUACGGCCGCGCAGUGGACUGGUGGGGUUUGGGCGUCGUCAUGUACGAAAUGAUGUGUGGCCGGCUCCCCUUUUACAACCAGGACCACGAGAAACUCUUUGAACUCAUCCUUAUGGAGGAGAUUAGAUUCCCUCGCACUUUAUUACCUGAAGCAAAAUCGCUGCUCUCGGGUUUACUGAAGAAAGACCCAAAACAAAGGUUAGGCGGUGGACCAGACGAUGCUAAGGAGAUCAUGCAACACAAAUUUUUUGCUGGAAUUGUAUGGCAAGAUGUAUACGAGAAAAAAGUAACUUGUUCCACCUUUUAAGCCACAAGUUACAUCAGAGACAGAUACAAGGUAUUUUGAUGAAGAAUUUACGGCGCAGAUGAUCACGAUAACUCCUCCAGACCAAGAUGAGAAUCUGGAAUUUGUUGACAAUGAAAGAAGGCCGCACUUUCCCCAGUUUUCGUAUUCUGCAAGUGGAAACGCUUAGAUGUCUCACUUUUUUUUAUUUUUUUUCCUUUUUUUAUUUUCUUUCAUUACAAAACACACAGACUUCAUUUUUUUUGGGGCACUAAGUUCAUCAGACUUUGUACAGGACUUUCUAUAGCCAAUGAAUUACAAACUAUGUUUGUAUGACCACAAAAGAAGUUUGACGAAUGUCCGGGGGAGGAGGAGGAGGA